CCUACGGGUGGCAGCAGUGGGGAAUAUUGCACAAUGGGGGGAACCCUGAUGCAGCGACGCCGCGUGGGUGAAGGAGUAUUUCGGUAUGUAAAGCCCUAUCAGCAGGGAAGAACAAUGACGGUACCUGACUAAGAAGCACCGGCUAAAUACGUGCCAGCAGCCGCGGUAAUACGUAUGGUGCAAGCGUUAUCCGGAUUUACUGGGUGUAAGGGGAGCGCAGGCGGCUCGUUAAGCCUGGUGGGAAAGUCCGCGGCCCAACCGCGGGACUGCAUUGGGAACUGGCGCGCUGGAGGGCCGGGGGGGUAGGCGGAAUUCCUCGUGUAGCGGUGAAAUGCGUAGAUAGUAGGAGGAACACCAGUGGCGAAGGCGGCCUACUGGACGGUGACUGACGCUGAGGCUCGAAAGCGUGGGGAGCAAACAGGAUUAGAUACCCCAGUAGUC
rnacentral:rRNA from 1 species